AAGCUCGUAGUUGAAUUUCGGGACCAGUAUGUUGGUCGUGCUUUGGUACGUACUGUCAUUACUGGUUUCUCUCUUCUGAAGAACCUUGAUGUCAUUAAUUUGGUGUCUUGGGGAAUCAGGACUGUUACUUUGAAAAAAUUAGAGUGUUUAAAGCAGGCAUACGCUUGAAUACAUUAGCAUGGAAUAAUGAAAUAGGACGUUUGAUUCUAUUUUGUUGGUUUCUAGGAUCGACGUAAUGAUUAAUAGGGAUAGUUGGG
rnacentral:rRNA from 1 species